CCUACGGGAGGCAGCAGUGGGGAAUAUUGCACAAUGGGGGAAACCCUGACGCAGCGACGCCGCGUGAGUGAAGAAGUCAUUCGUUAUGUAAAGUUCUAUUAGCAGGGAAGAAAAUGACGGUACCUGAGUAAUAAGCCCCGGCUAACUACGUGCCAGCAGCCGCGGUAAUACGUAGGGGGCAAGCGUUAUCCGGAUUUACUGGGUGUAAAGGGCGUGUAGACGGGGCGCUAAGUCUGGAGUGAAAUGUCGCAGCUUAACUGCGGACCUGCUUUGGAAACUGGCGAACUGGAGUGCGGGAGGGGUAAGCGGAAUUCCUGGUGGAGCGGUGAAAUGCGUAGAUAUUAGGAGGAACACCAGUGGCGAAGGCGGCUUGCUGGACCGUAACUGACGUUGAGGCUCGAAAGCGUGGGGAGCAAACAGGAUUAGAUACCCUGGUAGUC
rnacentral:rRNA from 1 species